AAAGAUAUUCUUGGAGCUAAUUUUCCAAGGUGAGAAGCUUUUUAGUCUUUCAGAUCUUGUAGUUUUCAUCAACUGCACAGACAAAGAAAAAGAAAAAGAAAAAGAAAAAGAAAAAGAAAAACUUUUUUGACACGUAUGAAAUGCAAUAUAGAACAUCACCUAAUCAUUUUGUAGAAGCUAAAAGUCCUUUUAAAACCAGAAAAUGCAGAUGGGACCAAUCAAAAUGCAAGAACUGUUUUCUAUCAAACGUGAAUUUACUGUAUCGAACUUAGCCACUUACUGCUUUAAACCUGUAACAUGCUUCGUGGCAAUGCUAUGAUCAAUACUGUAAAGUAGUAACCGCUUUGAAGUAUCUUUUCCUUGUCUUUAUUGUGAUUUGAUGUGAGGGAACUGAAAAAACUAUUAUGCAAAUAGCUGCUCCCCUUACUCCCAUUGCAC
rnacentral:misc_RNA from 1 species